GUUAAAGCUUUGAAGAGAAAUAGUAAGAUUAAUAGAGUUUUUAAGAGAGUUGCUGGUUGGUGAGAAUCACAAAAUGAAUUAAUCUGAAUACAUCUCUGAGCAGUAUCUCCCAAAGAUAACAACCAGUAGGCAGAUAUCGUAUCGCACACGUUAUAGUGCUAGAGUAUAACCCAAAACUUUAUUUGGAGUACUUGAAGAGGUUAUUAUUGUGAGAUAAUAAUAAAUUAAGGUGGUAACACGUAAGUAAUGCUUUCGUCCUUUUA
rnacentral:ncRNA from 1 species